CUCUCCGGGUCCUGCAGAGGGAUAUACUAUGAAGCAGGAUCAAGGAAUUAGCCAGACAGAAAUAACAGAUUUUCUGAUUCAUUAAAAAAGCUAAACUUUAUAUGAGUUGUUGGUUGUUGAAGCAAUCAAGACCAAUUAAGAAUGUUUCUGCAAGUUAGCUGGCAAACUCCUUGAUCCUAAUUUGUAGUAUACCCCCUUGGUCUGCCUGACCUCGUGUGAGGACACAACACCACAGACAGUAUCACUAGAAUGGGUUCUUCUCACCAGAGAGGUAGAGGAGAGUUUGGCAGCCAUGUUGGUAAGGACCUAAAAGCAUAAUACGCCACCCCUGUAAAGUGUGUAAUGUAACAAGCCCACUCGCCUACCAUAGAGGCUGCCUACCUUUCUAGAAUGCAUAGUAGCAUAAGAGUAUUCUGGAAUGGACAAGGUGUUCUAGAAUACACCUAAUGGGUUCUAGAAAGGACACCAUGUUGUUGAUUAUAAUGAUGACGUGGCAUUUAGUGACUGAAAGUCUCUAAUAGACCAGUGAUUCUAUGUUUGUGGAUUUUUCCCCCUUCUCUUCCCUCCACAGUUAAGUCGUUUACAUCUACACCCAUUGUGUGUGUUAUAUUGGCCCGGCCACCAAGGCAUCGACUGGGUGCUUUUAAUCUGUGCAUUCUGAACCCUAUGAGCAAAAGAUGUUGAAAAGAAACUGAAAAUAUGUUUAAAAGAUGCUUAAAUACAUAUUUUAUAUUGAAAAGACGUCUUUUCGACAUCUUGUGCUCACUGGGAAUCAUCUCUGAAAUCACUUGAAUCUAGGGUUGCGAAAUUCCGGUAACUCUCCCAAAAUUACCCGGUUUCCCAGAAAUCCUGGUACUGAGACCAGGAAUCGUCCAACCAGGAUUUCUGGAAAAACACUGGGAUUUUUUUUUUUUUUUUUUUUUUUUUGGAAAAAUGAUCCUAAUUUUGCAACCCACUUAUUCACUGACAUGGAGGAUGUGGGAGGAGCAACGUGUUAUAAGUAAAGUCACCUCAGUUCAUGUUGACAAA